GAUGGUAUAGGUCAGUGGUAGAGCAUGUGCUUAGUGUGCACAGGGUCCUGGAUUCAAUCCCCAGUACCUCUG
rnacentral:tRNA from 1 species